AGAGAGACAGUAAGAACAGUAGAGAGACAGUAGAGAGAGAGAGUAAGAACAGAGACAGUAAGAACAGUAGAGAGACAGUAAGAACAAGAGACAGUAAGAGCAGUAGAGAGACAGUAGAACAGAGAGACAGUAAGAACAGAGAGACAGUAAGAACAGUAGAGAGACAGUAAGAACAGAAGACAAGACAGUAAGAACAGUAGAGAGACAGUAGAGAGAGACAGUAAGAACAGUAGAGAGACAGUAAGAACAGUAGAGAGACAGUAAGAACAGUAGAGAGACAGUAAGAACAGAGAGACAGUAAGAACAGAGAGACAGUAAGAACAGAGAGACAGUAAGAACAGUAGAGAGACAGUAAGAACAGUAGAGAGACAAGAGAGACAGUAGAGAGAGACAGUAGAGAGACAGUAAGAACAGUAGAGAGACAGUAGAGAGAGACAAGACAGUAAGAACAGUAGAGAGACAGUAAGAACAGAGAGACAGUAAGAACAGUAGAGAGACAGUAGAGAGACAGUAAGAACAGUAGAGACAGUAAGAACAGUAGAGAGACAGUAAGAACAGUAGAGAGACAGUAAGAACAGUAGAGAGACAGUAAGAACAGUAGAGAGACAGUAAGAACAGAGACAGUAAGAACAGUAGAGAGACAGUAAGAACAGUAGAGAGACAGUAAGAGACA
ensembl:lncRNA